rnacentral:rRNA from 1 species
AUUGAACGCUGGCGGCAUGAUUUACACAUGCAAGUCGAACGGUAACAGGCCGCAAGGUGCUGACGAGUGGCGAACGGGUGAGUAAUGCAUCGGAACGUGCCCAGUCGUGGGGGAUAACUACUCGAAAGAGUAGCUAAUACCGCAUACGAUCUAUGGAUGAAAGCGGGGGACCGUAAGGCCUCGCGCGAUUGGAGCGGCCGAUGUCAGAUUAGGUAGUUGGUGGGGUAAAGGCUCACCAAGCCAACGAUCUGUAGCUGGUCUGAGAGGACGACCAGCCACACUGGGACUGAGACACGGCCCAGACUCCUACGGGAGGCAGCAGUGGGGAAUUUUGGACAAUGGGCGCAAGCCUGAUCCAGCAAUGCCGCGUGCAGGAAGAAGGCCUUCGGGUUGUAAACUGCUUUUGUACGGAACGAAACGGCUCUGGUUAAUACCCGGGGCUAAUGACGGUACCGUAAGAAUAAGCACCGGCGAACUACGU